GGGAAUGUGGCUUAGUGGUAGAGUGCUUGCCUAGCAUGCAUGAAGCCCUGAGUUCGACUCCUCAGUACCA
rfam:Dipodomys ordii contig_51223, whole genome shotgun sequence.